rnacentral:rRNA from 1 species
AUUGAACGCUGGCGGCAGGCCUAACACAUGCAAGUCGAACGGUAACAGGAAGAAGCUUGCUUAUUUGCUGACGAGUGGCGGGCGGGUGAGUAAUGUCUGGGAAACUGCCUGAUGGAGGGGGAUAACUACUGGAAACGGUAGCUAAUACCGCAUACCGUCGCAAGACCAAAGAGGGGGACCUUCGGGGCUCUUGCCAUCGGUUGUGCCCAGAUGGGAUUAGCUAGUAGGUGGGGUAACGGCUCACCUAGGCGACGAUCCCUAGCUGGUCUGAGAGGAUGACCAGCCACACUGGAACUGAGACGCGGUCCAGACUCCUACGGGAGGCAGCAGUGGGGAAUAUUGCACGAUGGGCGCAAGCCUGAUGCAGCCAUGCCGCGUGUAUGAAGAAGGCCUUCGGGUUGUAAAGUACUUUCAGCGGGGAGGAAGGGAGUAAAGUUAAUACCUUUGCUCAUUGACGUUACCCGCAGAAGAAGCACCGGCUAACUCCGUG